rnacentral:lncRNA from 1 species
GAAACAUCUGCACACAGAAAAGCUUGGAUGUUGUAAGAAUUAAAGGGGAAUGACUUCUUUCUAAAUUAUCUCAACAUAGCACACAAUGGAUGGUUCCUUCAACAGCUUUUCAAGGACUUUCUUCUGUUUCCAUGUCUGAAGACGGUAUGGAUGCAAUCCUUGCUCACAUUUUUUGCAGGGCUUGAGCUACGGAACAUAUCAUAUUAGAAUCUCUGGUAUAGCAAUUGUUUUGCGUUUUCUUAGUUGCAAUUUAUGCCUGAAACUGAUCACUUAGAUAUUAAGAAUAAAAAAAAUAAAUAAAGUAAAUAAAAUUACUGGCAAGGAGUUGAUAUGCAAUCAAAUGUUCCGUUGAAUAGCAUGAAUUUAAAAACAAUAACAGGUAGUAAAUCCCAACAACACACAGAGAAUUUGUAUGGAGUUACACAUCAGUGUUCACCUGUGAGUUUAAAGUAUAUGAAUCGAUAGGUGCAUCUAGUAAUUUCAUUCUUUAUCUUCAGUACAGGAGAAAAGAUGACCAGAAAUUGCUGGCUGAUACAAAUCUAAGGCUCAGAAGAUAUUUCUAAUGUGAGGGUGGACAUUCUGGUCAAUAUUUCCUGUCCAAUUUGUCUUUAGGGUUGUGUAUAUUUGCUGUUCAGAGCACGAUUUAGGAGAAACCGGUGUCUAGUCUGUGUCCCUGAUGUGACUUCUAACAUGUUUGUCAUGCACAGCCACAAAGCAUUCAACAAUAUUCUUGAUUCCCAAAUGUUCAAAUGCCCAUUCCCACAGAUGCACCAUUGCUUCAGCUUGGCAGGCUCCAAGUCUGUGGCUGGCCAGUGUGUCAGCAUUGAAUUUAUGUUGAAGAGCACAGCUUCAUUCUCCUCAAGAAGUGUUUCACUGAUUUAAACUGUGUGAGAGAAAGAUCAUCAUGAAAAGACAGUUUGAUACAUGGCGAUGUCCAACAGAAGCACAAUUUCUUUAUUCUUCAAGACGUCUUCACUUUAAAGAAUGAGGUUUAAGAAGAUGAGAAGCUUGCUUUUAUUUACAUAAGAUAGUGCUUCCUACAACUUGAUCAUCUUCCUUCUAGUAGUAAAUUAGCACUUCCUACAGCUUGAUCAUCUUCCUUCUAGUAGUAAAUUAGUACUUCCUACAGCUUGAUCAUCUUCCUUCCAGUGUUAAUUGUCAACACUUAUAGAGAGAAUUUGAAAUACAAAAUCGGAGACUACUAUUUGUGUAAGAAGAAUGUUGUUGAUUUAGUGAGACUUUAUGGUGUUGGCCACUGGAGACACAACUGGCCCAUGCAUGGCCACUGUCUCUUAAGUUAUCAUUGCUUGGCCCUUUGCCUUUUUGAGUCUACAGGUAAUAAAUAUAGGAAAGAUACCAUCAAAUAAAGAAAAAAAAGGUCCCUG